CUGCAUGAAGCCGGAAUUGCUAGUAAUCGCGGAUCAGCAUGCCGCGGUGAAUACGUUCCCGGGCCUUGUACACACCGCCCGUCACACCAUGGGAGUCGGUAACACCCGAAGCCAAUAGUCUAACCGCAAGGAGGACGUUGUCGAAGGUGGGAUUGAUGACCGGGGUGAAGUCGUAACAAGGUACC
rnacentral:rRNA from 1 species